GACGAACGCUGGCGGCGUGCUUAACACAUGCAAGUCGAGCGAUGAAGCUCCUUCGGGAGUGAAUUAGCGGCGGACGGGUGAGUAUCACGUGGGUAACCUGCCUCAUAGAGGGGAAUAGCCUUCCGAAAGGAAGAUUAAUACCGCAUAAGAUUGUAGUACCGCAUGGUACAGCAAUUAAAGGAACAAUCCGCUAUGAGAUGGACCCGCGUCGCAUUAGCUAGUUGGUGAGGUAACGGCUCACCAAGGCGACGAUGCGUAGCCGACCUGAGAGGGUGAUCGGCCACAUUGGGACUGAGACAAGGCCCAGACUCCUACGGGAGGCAGCAGUAGGGAAUAUUGCACAAUGGGGGAAACCCUGAUGCAGCAACGCCGCGUGAGUGAUGACGGUCUUCGGAUUGUAAAGCUCUGUCUUCAGGGACGAUAAUGACGGUACCUGAGGAGGAAGCCACGGCUAACUACGUGCCAGCCGCCGCCGUAAUAC
rnacentral:rRNA from 1 species